AUUGAACGCUGGCGGCAGGCCUAACACAUGCAAGUCGAGCGGAUGAAGGAGCUUGCUCCUGGAUUCAGCGGCGGACGGGUGAGUAAUGCCUAGGAAUCUGCCUGGUAGUGGGGGAUAACGUCCGGAAACGGGCGCUAAUACCGCAUACGUCCUGAGGGAGAAAGUGGGGGAUCUUCGGACCUCACGCUAUCAGAUGAGCCUAGGUCGGAUUAGCUAGUUGGUGGGGUAAAGGCCUACCAAGGCGACGAUCCGUAACUGGUCUGAGAGGAUGAUCAGUCACACUGGAACUGAGACACGGUCCAGACUCCUACGGGAGGCAGCAGUGGGGAAUAUUGGACAAUGGGCGAAAGCCUGAUCCAGCCAUGCCGCGUGUGUGAAGAAGGUCUUCGGAUUGUAAAGCACUUUAAGUUGGGAGGAAGGGCAGUAAGUUAAUACCUUGCUGUUUUGACGUUACCAACAGAAUAAGCACCGGCUAACUUCGUG
rnacentral:rRNA from 1 species